UACGUAGGGGGCGAGCGUUGUCCGGAAUCAUUGGGCGUAAAGCGCGUGUAGGCGGCUUGGUAAGUCCGGUGUGAAACCUUGGGGCUCAACCCCAAGCCUGCACUGGAUACUGCCUCGCUUGAGUCCGGGAGGGGAGAGCGGAAUCCUAGUGUAGCGGUGAAAUGCGCAGAUAUUAGGAAGAACACCGGUGGCGAAGGCGGCUCCUG
rnacentral:rRNA from 1 species